rnacentral:rRNA from 1 species
ACUCAAAGGAAUUGACGGGGGCCCGCACAAGCGGUGGAGGAUGUGGUUUAAUUCGACGCAACGCGAAGAACCUUACCAAGGCUUGACAUCUACCGAAUCUGUUAGAAAUAGCGGAGUGCCCGAAAGGGAACGGUAAGACAGGUGGUGCAUGGCUGUCGUCAGCUCGUGUCGUGAGAUGUUGGGUUAAGUCCCGCAACGAGCGCAACCCUCGAUGCUAGUUACCAUCAUUAAGUUGGGGACUCUAGCGUGACUGCCGGUGAUAAGCCGGAGGAAGGUGAGGACGACGUCAAGUCAUCAUGCCCCUUACGUCUUGGGCUACACACGUCCUACAAUGGCAUAGACAAAGGGCUGCAAGCUAGCGAUAGUGAGCGAAUCCCAUAAACUAUGUCUCAGUUCGGAUUGCAGGCUGCAACUCGCCUGCAUGAAGUUGGAAUCGCUAGUAACCGUAGAUCAGCACGCUACGGUGAAUACGUUCCCGGGCCUUGUACACACCGCCCGU